rnacentral:lncRNA from 1 species
UACAAAGAAGGAUGGGGAUCGCAGAAGUCACAUUUUGUGAGAUGGAGCCAGCCGCACUGGGUGCCUCCUGGUGAUGUCUAAAGUAGACUACACUUCCCAGCUUAACUUGAACCACGUGGAUGCUGUUAUUAAUUCAGGUCAAUGGCAUGUGAGCAGAACAGGUGCAUGUCAUUUCCAGACCUGGCCUCUAAAAUGUUCCAUGAGCCCUUUGGCUCCAAUGGUCCAAAGGAAGAAGCCUGGAUCCCUGAAUCACUGCUUAAAGAAAAGGGACUUCGAGAUGACCAGACCUGCAUGCCAGCCUCUAGCUUGAACACCCACCUUUGCUGCGCCUCGGGGCCUGCAGUCUGCGGUGCUCUUAGCCACAGAUGGCAACUAUUUUUAGGAGAGCCUGCUGAGAAGAAGAAUCAUGGAAAUGGUAAGUGCUCCCUGAGACCUCCCCAGAAGCCAAGUGAUGUUGGUGCCAUGCUUAUACAGCCUACAGAACUACAAGCCAAUUAAACCUCCUCUGUAAAAAAUGUAAAUUAUCCAAUCUCAGGUAUUUCUUCAUAGCAAUGCAAUAAUGGCCUAAUACACCCUAUGUCUUAUUUAUUAAUACCUUGAUAAUAAGCAGUAGAUACAAAUUCAGAAUAUCACGGAUACCUUGGAAUGGGAUUUGGGGGCUAGAGAGGGGUUUAUUUUAACCAGUUAUUUUACUUUUAAAAAUUGUGAAACAAAUUUCCCAAAGUUUUGGGAUUUGACAAAAGUGGAUAGGAAUUACACAAGUUACUACUAAAUUUUCUCUAUAUUUUUCUUAUUGUCUAAAGUGUGUAUGAUAGUGACAAAGAAAUGCUGAAUGGAACAAAAGAGAGUAGACACUGUGGGUAUAGACAAUCCUUUGACAGCAUUUGGCUAUAAAGGAAUGGAGAAAAUUUGUAUUGGAAAGAUAGGCAUCAAAGGAAAGUUUAUCUUUUAGUUUUGUUUUAAUUUUUAAUGUUGGUGAUAGUGCAGGUUAUGUGCCUCCUAAAGAAAAUUAUCCAGCUGAGAGGGAGAAUUUAAAGAUGCAUGAUCAAGACAUAAUAACUCGAGAGUUAAAGUCCCUGAGGAGAGGAGAGGCAGAGUGUCCCAGGACACUUGUGAAGAUCUGGCCUUUAGUAGAAGAAGAGAAACUAGGUUAAUUAGCCUGGGCAAGGCCCCAGUCAUAAUUACAAAAAUGUAUAAAAUUAUCUUUGUGACUGAGGUCUGAAAUAUGAGAUUCAAAAUCCAUUGUUGUAACACAAAAUGGAAACAUAGAGUUAUUUUCAUAUGUUACAACUACAUCUCAUUUAAAUGAUUUUACUAGAACAUGAAAUUUGGAGAGUACGGGUCUAUGUCCUGACCUCUUUUAUUCAGAAAACCAGACUUUAGUAGGUAAAUUUCAUUCAAUCAUGGUUUAGCUACCCUGAAGGCAGAGGCAUGACUACUUAGAAUUUUAUUAUUGUGAAAUGUCAGUGUACAAAGCAUAAUAGAAAAUGACACCUCAUAACAAAGGAUUCUAGGUAAUUUUAUGCUUUAUUUUUCCCCAAAAGCAGCAUGAAUACCAUGUCUCUAAGUUAAAGCACAGCUGUACUGAUGUAAGAUGGUGGGCAGGAUGCUGAAAGACAUCAUCUUGUCAUGAUUUCCCUGUAAUGAUCUUUCUUCUCAGAGAUAAUUCAAUAGUUACAAUCCCAUUGUCUGUCAAGUAGAAAUAUAUUCCCCUUAAGUAGCCAUAAUUUUAUUAUCUUCCCUGUGAAUCAAUUCUUCAGAAUGUUGCUUCUCUCAGAAAUGUUUUCUAGUAAUCCUACCAU